AGUAAGCGCUCAAGAAAUACCAUUGACCGACUGACAGGAAGGCGAAUUAGCGGAUAGGGCCGAAAUGGAGAACUGCAAUGUCAUUUACUGGGAUAUUGCAGCCAUAUCGUUAUAUCUGUACCACAGUGACCCUCCAGUUAUCUAAAGCAAACAGAUCACCACCAUCCUCCCUUGCCAGAGCAACUCCAUAGGAAUUUUACCUAAGGGGAUUUUCCCGAGAACCACCCGGAGUUCAGGAAAAAAAUCCUCAGUCGAGUACUAACCUAAGAGACAGGAGAUCCCAAUUCUUAGUUCUACUACCUUCUUUCUGAAAACCUGAGAUAAUCACUUCACCCCUUACCCCCCCAGUUUCCACAGCUGCAAAACGGGUAAUAUCAUUUGUUACCUCCCAACUCGAAUCGAAAGGUGAAGAAGAGCACUUUCAGAACUGCUGGAAAAUACCUUAGCGGAAGAUCAAUGUCAGGGGUAAUUCAAGCUCCAUUUUGAGCUUGCCCUCUGCCUUCUCUCCACAUCCUACUCCCUAUAUGGUGGUGAGCGUUCACUGGAAACUGCCAUCCUAUGUCCAAAACGGGGAAGUGUCAGCUAUUGUAGUCUGAGGGCUGGAAUUUUAAAUAUUUCUGUGGUCAUGACUCAUUGCCAUUCAAUUUUAACAGUCAACUUUCUCCUGCUUAUUCUCUUUCUGACUCUGGGCGACAUUUGCACAAUAUUCUCGUUGUAAGAGUAGGAGAAUGCAUCCCGAAUUCAUCUUCCAAAAUCGCACUGAAUUGGAGAUUGUCGUCACCGCAUGGGAGGCUCGGAGAGCCUACCUAGGCCUCAGGAAUCGUGACUCCUUUUGGAAGCUGCAGCCCUUAAAAGGUUCGCAACUGGGAUGUGUUACGUCAGAUACCUCGAUAGGUCCCCUCCGUGCCUCAGUUCCCUUAUCUGUAAAAGGGGGAUGAAGACUGUGAGCCCCACGUGGGACAACCUGAUGACCAUGUAUCUACCCAGAACUUAGAACGGUGCUUGGCACAUAAUAAGUGCUUAACAUCAUCAUCAUCAUCAUCAAAGACGUCGACUGGGGGUUUUGCUGGUGCUUGGGAAACACCUAUUUGAAUUAUUGAUGUUGGAGCUUGUUCUUCUGGACUUGGCCUCUUCGCAGAGCUGAUCCAAGCAGGGAUUUCUCUUUGAUGUCAGCAGGAGAGCCCCGCUCUGAUGUGAAUUUGGGAUGGAAAACCAAAUCCCGAUCCGGCUUACUCACUGCAGCUGUGUGAGAAAGAGUGGCAACCCAAGAGUUUUCAAAAAAGGAAAUGAAGCCAACAUGGCUCACUCCCUAGCAUUCCUCCUCUUCCAAAUAAGACCUCCUCUCCAAUUAAGGCUGUCUGGGGAAUCUUAGUCAAUAUUGUUGGACUGUCUAUUCUGGAACUUCCCCGGAAUAAAAUUAGUCACCGGAGAGGGAAGGAGGAAGGGUAGAUGAUAAACUGACCUUAUCCUCACUCUUCCAAACUAUCUUUUGGUUUAAUAUAGCUCCGAACAUUAAACUUCUUCAGAACCUCUCUC